GCGGCGGACGGGUGAGUCCCUUGUGGGCAACCUGCCCUGCAGACUGGGAUAACUUCGGGAAACCGGAGCUAAUACCGGAUAACACCGAAAACCGCAUGGUUUUCGGUUGAAAGGCGGCUUUUACCUGUCACUGCAGGAUGGGCCCGCGGCGCAUUACCUAGUUGGUGAGGUAACGGCUCACCAAGGCAACAAUGCGUACCCAACCUGAAAGGGUGACCGGCCACACUGGGACUGAAACACGGCCCAAACUCCUACGGGAGGCAGCAGUAGGGAAUCUUCCGCAAUGGACAAAAGUCUGACGGAGCAACGCCGCGUGAGCGAAGAAGGUCUUCGGAUCGUAAAGCUCUGUUGUCAGGGAAGAACAAGUGCCGUUCGAACAGGGCGGUACCUUGACGGUACCUGACGAGGAAGCCACGGCUAACUACGUGCCAGCAGCCGCGGUAAUAC
rnacentral:rRNA from 1 species